rnacentral:rRNA from 1 species
AUUGAACGCUGGCGGCAGGCCUAACACAUGCAAGUCGAACGAGUGGCGGACGGGUGAGUAAUGUCUGGGAAACUGCCAGAUGGAGGGGGAUAACUACUGGAACCGGUAGCUAAUACCGCAUACCAUCGGAUGUGCCCAGAUGGGAUUAGCUAGUAGGUGGGGUAAAGGCUCACCUAGGCGACGAUCCCUAGCUGGGCUGAGAGGAUGACCAGCCACACUGGAACUGAGCCACGGUCCAGACUCCUACGGUAGGCAGCAGUGGGGAAUAUUGCGCAAUGGGCGCAAGCCUGAUGCAGCCAUGCCGCGUGUAUGAAGAAGGCCUUCGGGUUGUAAAGGACUUUCAGCGGGGAGGCGUUACCCGCAGAAGAAGCACAGGCUAACUCCGUGCCAGCAGCCGCGGUAAUAC